GUUGCUUAGCAACCUCCUGCCUUAAGAGCUAGUACAUUUUUCUGACCAAUCAAAUGAGUGAGCACGUUUUUGAAUGGUGUCCAGGGUUGAAAGAUUAGACUAUUGUUUCUACCAUCGAAUCCCUUUCCAUUCAUCAGGUUUUUGCACCUCGCAAAUAAUUGAAUCUAUUUCCUUCUCUUGCACAUACACUGCAUGCUUUGAAUCAUUCUCAGUACUAGUUAGUCCUCCACAGCGUGUGCUGCCAGUCCACCACUGGAUGGCAGCACUGACGGUUCCUCUGAUGCCACAUAGGCUGCAAGAUUUUUUUUUUUUCUUUCACUGCUGUUGCUAAGCAAUCCUGACUAUCAUGUCUUACCUGUGUAACAUUUGUGAAUUUUUACAGAUGCCCCUGACACCAUUUUGUCUUUGUUUUUCCAUGUUUUUUUAAAUGCAUCACGUAGGAAAAUUGAAUAUGGGCUGCGCCGCAAAACCCAUUCACGUCCAAGCUGAUACUGUAACCUUCUAAAUCCAGAUAUUCCAACAGGAAAACGAGUGAACAAGUGCAGAGAAUAAUUCAUGAAUGAAUGGGAUGCCUGCCAAGCCAGUUUUUUGGGCGAAAUAUUGCAACAGCUUCAGUUGACUUCAUGUCAUCAUCAUGCAGGAGGCAGGAAAUGUGCUCUUGAGUGAUUAGGCUAGGCCAGCAGCUCUUGUCUUCCACUUAAGCAGCGGCAGAAACAGCCACUUUUUUUCCUCGGCUGAUGCAGCUCUGUGUUUUCCCUGAAUAUAAACCUCUGAAAUUUUUCCAACCAGUAAUUGAACACAUUAUCGAUGUGAUCGAGCACCAUUUCAAGUUCCCGUCAUUAAUGAUCGUGUUCUCUUUCACACACUCUCUCCGUGCCUGUAACCCCCCCACCCAGUCCCUCAUCUCAGCUGUGGUUGCAGCAGUGCAGAUGGUUCUUUGUUGGUGCUUCACAAUGGGUCUAAGGCAACAGGUUGUAGGGAUGGAGCCUUUUCUUCACCAGAGAUAAUACUAAUAAUCUCCCUGAAGCCUCUUUCACACUGGGGACCACGCUUGUCCACUCGUGCAUGAACUGUGAUGCCACUGACAAAACCAUGAAGAAAAAAACAACAACACCACCACCAUGAUCCUCAGUCAUAAUGUUUGCGGUUACUAAUUUGCAUCUUUGACUUUGGUCUCUCUUUCAAUUCAUUGUUCAAAUGAUUCAAUUGAGCUUGAACCCAAGUUUUAAUAAGUCUGGAUCACUACAGACGUUCUUCUGCAAGGUUUUCCAGCAGCAGACUACAGCGUCACAUCAGCAAACCCUCUGCUCUUCAAAGUAGGGGAAUAAAUCGUCUUUAAGAUACAGAAAACCUAACCCCAAGUGGUCAGGUGCUAUCUGAUUGCAAUCCGAUUACAGAAAACACAUUUUAAUGCCAAAGAGGGCCACAGUCAUCGCAUCGCAUCUCAGAGUCACUUGACCUGGGAGUCAUUUCCAAUGAAGCACAUGCUUACUUGGGAUUAAUAAAUGUAUUUAUUUAAAGUAGUGGUAAAGACUAGUGGCUCACUAUCAGAAAAUGAAAGGAGAUGUUUGGUGGCGAGUAGGAAGGAAAGAGCUGAGAGAAAUGAAAGUAAAACAAGAGUUUAUAGUGGCAUUUCUAUCCAAACACAGGAAGCACAGCCAAAAGUUAGUAUUAAAUGUUAGAAGUCCAGCAUCAAACAUCAUUACUGGACUCAUUUAAUACUAACGUUGGCUGUGCAACAGUGGUAAAAAAUAAAUACAUAUAGCACUUUUAAAAGUCUGGAUGGGAUUAUAGAUGAAUAUUCACCACCAUGGUCCAGUACAGUAGCCACAUUACUGGAGCUGAUGCAUUUUACUGUCGCCCAUCUCAUGUCUGCCUUCAUGCAUUAAUAACGAGUCCUGAAAUAUCUACUACACAUGGUAGUAGACGGAGACAAGACAUGUUUUCAUGGUAAGAAAUAAGCUGAGGUUUGACUAAAAACAUCCUGUCGCACAAACAUCCAUUUUCACCAACUGACUCAGUCACAGACACAUGAUUUAAAUCUAAAGUUAACUGGGACAAAGGGGUUUGAAACAUUUGGGAUAAAACGGCAGCAUUGUUUAGCCAUUUUCGAAAUCCUGCAACACUGAAGAGACAUGUCAACCACAGCAGCCUCAGAAAUAACCAGAGGCACAGGAUUUCAGGAUCAUUGGCUCUGUGCCACUGAGGAGCUUUGGUUUACAUUACGUGUGUUUCUGUAAACACACAUCACCGGUCUAUGCCACAGAACUAAACUAUGUGUAAAAAAGAUUUCUGUUUUCACUUUUUUGUUUCGUAUGUUUAUUUUUACACGCUCAAAGUAAGCGCGUAACUUUUGUUGCCUCUGAUUUUUGCAAACAGAAACAAUGGAACAUUGUUUGUAUGAAAAAAAUGAAAAUGGGCUCUGCCAAGCAAUACUAUCAGACCUGACUGAGGGAGCAUUUGUGUGCACAUAGCAGCAAUGAAGGGGAUGGAAAUGGAAUUGUGAAA